rnacentral:rRNA from 1 species
UGGGGAAUAUUGGACAAUGGGCGAAAGCCUGAUCCAGCCAUGCCGCGUGUGUGAAGAAGGUCUUCGGAUUGUAAAGCACUUUAAGUUGGGAGGAAGGGCAUUAACCUAAUACGUUAGUGUUUUGACGUUACCGACAGAAUAAGCACCGGCUAACUCUGUGCCAGCAGCAGCGGUAAUACAGAGGGUGCAAGCGUUAAUCGGAAUUACUGGGCGUAAAGCGCGCGUAGGUGGUUUGUUAAGUUGGAUGUGAAAUCCCCGGGCUCAACCUGGGAACUGCAUUCAAAACUGACUGACUAGAGUAUGGUAGAGGGUGGUGGAAUUUCCUGUGUAGCGGUGAAAUGCGUAGAUAUAGGAAGGAACACCAGUGGCGAAGGCGACCACCUGGACUAAUACUGACACUGAGGUGCGAAAGCGUGGGGAGCAAACA